AUUGAACGCUGGCGGCAUGCCUAACACAUGCAAGUCGAACGAGUGGCGGACGGGUGAGUAAUGUAUGGGAAACUGCCCGAUGGAGGGGGAUAACUACUGGAAACGGUGGCUAAUACCGCAUACCAUCGGAUGUGCCCAGAUGGGAUUAGCUAGUAGGUGGGGUAAAGGCUCACCAAGGCGACGAUCCCUAGCUGGUUUGAGAGGAUGACCGGCCACACUGGGACUGAGACACGGCCCAGACUCCUACGGGAGGCAGCAGUGGGGAAUAUUGGACAAUGGGCGGAAGCCUGAUGCAGCCAUGCCGCGUGUAUGAAGAAGGCCUUCGGGUUGUAAAGUACUUUCGGCAGAGAAGCGGUACCCGCAGAAGAAGCACCGGCUAACUCCGUGCCAGCCGCCGCGGUAAUUC
rnacentral:rRNA from 1 species